UGAAUACGAGAUGCUACGGCGUCGAAGCAGUCUAUGUCAUACUUCCAAGAAAAGCUCGCACUGUCAUAAACAAAUAAUGCCUGUACCAUAACCGACACAGGUGGGUAGGUAGAGUAUACUAAGGGGCGCGAGAUAACUCUCUCUAAGGAACUCGGCAAAAUGACUCCGUAACUUCGGGAGAAGGAGUGCCUUAUUUAUAAGGUUGCAAUAACAAGAUCCAAACAACUGUUUAUCAAAAACACAGGUCUCCGCUAAGUCGUAAGACGAUGUAUGGGGGCUGACGCCUGCCCAGUGCCUGAAGGUUAAAGAAGUUGGUUAGCAUUCGCGAAGCUGAUAACUGAAGCCCUGGUGAACGGCGGCCGUAACAAUAACGGUCCUAAGGUAGCGAAAUUCCUUGUCGGGUAAGUUCCGACCCGCACGAAAGGCGUAAUGAUUUGGAUACUGUCUCGGAGAGGGGCUCGGUGAAAUAGACUUGUCUGUGAAGAUGCGGAUUACCUGCACCAGGACAGAAAGACCCUAUGAAGCUUUACUGUAACUUGAGAUUGAAAUUGGACUUUACUUGCGCAGUAUAGGUGGGAGGCGUUGAUAAUAUUCUUGCGGGAUUAUUUGAGCCAUCAGUGAGAUACCACUCUUGUAAUGUUAGAUUUCUAACUUUGUAUCAUUAUCUGGUCAAAGGACAGUUUCAGGCGGGCAGUUUGACUGGGGCGGUCGCCUCCUAAACGGUAACGGAGGCGCACAAAGGUUUCCUCUGAACGGGUAGAAAUCGUAUCUAGAGUGUAAAGGCAUAAGGAAGCUUGACUGUGAGACCUACAAGUCGAGCAGGGACGAAAGUCGGUCUUAGUGAUCUGACGGUGCUGAGUGGAAAGGCCGUCACUCAACGGAUAAAAGUUACUCUAGGAUAACAGGCUGAUCUCCCCCAAGAGUUCACAUCGACGGGGAGGUUUGGCACCUCGAUGUCGGCUCAUCGCAUCCUGGGGCGGUAGUACGUCCCAAGGGUUGGGCUGUUCGCCCAUGAAAGCGGUACGCGAGCUGGGUUCAGAACGUCGUGAGACAGUUCGGUCCAUAUCCGGUGUAGGCGUUAGAAUAUUGAGAGGAGCCUUCUUUAGUACGAGAGGACCGAGAAGGACAUACCUCUGGUGUACCAGUUAUCGUGCCAACGGUAAACGCUGGGUAGCUAUGUAUGGAGUGGAUAACCGCUGAAAGCAUCUAAGUGGGAAGCCCACCUCAAGAUAAGUAUUCUCGU
rnacentral:rRNA from 1 species